ensembl:lncRNA
UGCAGAUCUCCGAACUUCUAUUGCUCUGUCCUAGUGUUUGAUCACAAUUUGAAUAUACUUGGAUAUGGAGACCUUAAACAAUUUCAUGCAGUAUUUUUACCACUGGAGUUUCGAGUUUCAAAAUUUUUUUUUUUUGGUACCGGGGAUCGAACUCGGGUCCUUGCUAGGCAGGCAGCGGAACUACUGAGCUAACUCCCCGGCUCUGGGUUUCAAAUUUUUAAAGCAGCGUUUUCUUUGGUUUUUGGUGCCCAGGAUCGAACUCGGGACCUUGCGCUUGUGAGGCAGGCCCCGGAACCACUGAGCUAAAUCCCCGGCCCAAGCAGCGUUUUCUUUUUUUCUUUGGUACCGGGGAUUGAACUCUGGUCUUUGCGCUUGCGCAGCAGGCGGCGAAACCACUGAGCUAAAUCCCCGGCCCAAGUAGCGUUUUCUUUACAUCCAGCUUUGAGUAGCUUUCGGGCUAACAUUGGUCAUAGAUUAUAGAGAUUCUAGGAGUUUAAAAAACAAACAAACAAACCCGCCCACAUCUUCCGCCCAUGGUGAGGCAGAAAGGUGUGGUAGAGGACCAUUGCUCACGGCGGCCAGGAAGCAGAGAGAAGGAAAAGAGCAAGAGAGGAAGGGGAUGGAAACAAGGAAUACCCUCAAAGGUGCACCUCAGUGAUCUGCUUCAUGCUAGCUCACAUGUUGAUGAGGAAUGCUUAAGGAUAGAAAGUAACAGAGCCAGGAGAAACUUCCUGGAUUCUCAGGAUGUCCUGGGAUUUUCUGUACAUUCUGGCCUACAAGACAUCUGUGAACUGGAGAGCCCUCAUAUCAUCUCAUAGCUUCAAAACAGAGGAGGAACAGUGAAUGGCUUCCUACUCCCUGAAGGCAGGCAGGGGUUGUGUCUCUCCUGUGUGACUUCCUUUAUCCAAAUAGCCCAAAUCCCAAAAUAGAGGUAUAAUAGGGGCUCAGCAGGAUGACAUCCAUAAUUCAAGGCCUGACUAUUGCUGACUGCACAGAAAGUUAGAAGGAAACUGGCCUCUUGCUGGACCUUACUCAGUCCUGAAGCCUGUGGGAGUAAGGAGUAAGGAGUAAGAGUGCUUGUGAUAUCAGGGGAAGAGAUGUAAUUCCCAAACCUACCUGGUAUCUGAAACACGAGUUCGUGUUCUCUAAAAUCGAAGAAUGAAUUCUAGGAACAAUGGGGGUUAAGAGUAGGAAAAAUUUAUUGGGAGAAAGAAAGCUUCUGCCUAAGAGAGACAGAAGAGGGACCAGAAAGUGAGUUGCCUGCCCACCCCACUUUUCAAAGAUGUUUUAUACAGCAAAGCCAUGUGGACAGGCGGGUACAAAGUGGCACAAAACUAUAAGACCCAAUGGAAAUUUACAAGGUGGGCAUGAGGUGGGACAAACCCAUGACCAACCAAUAAGAUUACAAGUACAGUCACCCAGGUAAUAUUGAAUAAAUGGGGAUCAAAUGAAAAGACAAGUCACAUGCAAGGAAUUUCCCAUUUAGAAUAUCAAUCACUGCUUUCUAUCUCUAGGGGAAGUAGUGCUUCUUUUCCUUUUUAUAAUGCUAACCAGUGAAUGUGGCUCAAUUGUUCUCCAUGUUGGUUCCUUGCUAUAUUGUCUCCUGGAGGGCUGGUGCCUUAAGGGAGGCCUUGUCUACCUGCCAAGGAGAUAUCUAAUUAACUUACCUAUCUGCAAUACUUAAGAGCCUCAGCUGCAGAGCAGGUGUCACAAUCCUCCCUUCAUUGGGAAUCCAGAGGUGUCUGGCAAGUCUCUUGGCCACAGGCCUCCCUGGAGCCCAGAGCUCUUUGAAGAAAAGAUUCUGGGAACAAGUGUAAGACCCAGGUGAGACUUAGCACAAGUAACACCAUCUUGUUACAGGCCCUCCAUCUUGUCCCUGUGGGUUUCGGGUUCACUAAAGGACACAGAGUUCCUGGAAUGUACUUGUUUAUCUGUUAAGACACCCUGGAAUGUACCAUUGUUUCUGUGUAAAGAACAUCCUGUUAGAUAAGUAAAGAACAUCUACAAACUCCCCUAACCGUCCCCUAACUGCAAAAAUUCCGCUUCUGUAGUUCUGCUUGCUAAGCACCCCUGCAGCCCCUAUAAAACCUUCCAACCUCCUGAGCUUGG